rnacentral:sRNA from 1 species
GUCGUGAGAUGUUGGGUUAAGUCCCGCAACGAGCGCAACCCCUGUCGCAUGUUGCCAGCAUUAAGUUGGGGACUCAUGCGAGACUGCCGGUGACAAACCGGAGGAAGGUGGGGAUGACGUCAAGUCAUCAUGCCCCUUAUGUCCAGGGCUACACACGUGCUACAUUGGCCGGUACAGAGGGCUGCGAUGCCGCGAGGUGGAGCGAAUCCCAAAAAGCCGGUCUCGGUUCGGAUUGGAGGCUGAAACUCGCCUCCAUGAAGGCGGAGUUGCUAGUAAUCCCGGAUCAGCAACGCCGGGGUGAAUACGUUCCCGGGCCUUGUACACACCGCCCGUCACACCACGAAAGCGGGCAACACCCGAAGCCGGUGACCCAACCCUUACGGGAGGGAGCCGUCGAAGGUGGGGCUCGUGAUUGGGGUGAAGUCGUAACAAGGUAGCCGUACCGGAAGGUGCGGCUGGAUCACCUCCUUUCUAGGGAGCUCCUUUCUAGGAGUCGGCCGUCGGCCUUAUGGCCGCGCGGCGCACCUAGCAUGUCGACCGAAUCUGGAAGCUGGCCUGCGAGCAAUCGCCGGCCGCAUGCUGCUGAGUUUUGAGAGACCGGCCUCCGGAGACCCCGGGGGUCGCGCCCUCUCCGGACCUUGAAAACCGCACAGUGUUGGCCAAACCAACAUCGAAAGAUCACCGAACCAUUCGAAGGCCUAUGGCUUUCGGGGGUUCGAUCACCGUCAAGAUAUGAAGGGCACACGGUGGAUGCCUUGGCAUCAGGAGUCGAAGAAGGGCGUGGACGGCUGCGAUAAGCCGCGGUGAGCCGCUGAACAGGCUUUGACCCGCGGAUGC